UCUUCCGUUAAGGGGACCUGCGGAAGGAUCAUUGAAUCUAUCAAUACCAACACCAAGCGAACCUUUCUGUUCGGUCCUCGGGCUCGGAUUCAGUUCCGAGCCCGUGCAGCCGGGGCCUGGAUCCUCUGUGUGAACCGGAGGAGACGGGCUCUCAGGCUGGGUUCGCCCUCGAAAGGCCUAACAGCCCUUGAGAGGUGUCGCGCCGGCCCCUUAUUUAACAACCAUAUUAACACCAAACCGAAACCUUUCUUGAAUCUUAUUAAAUGCGGCAGGCCAAGCCUACGCAUCUUAACUAAGACAACUCUCAACAACGGAUAUCUUGGCUCUCGCAACGAUGAAGAACGCAGCGAAAUGCGAUACGUAGUGUGAAUUGCAGAAUUCCGUGAACCAUCGAAUCUUUGAACGCAUAUUGCGCUCGAGGCUUCGGCCGAGAGCAUGUCUGCCUCAGCGUCGGGUUUAUAUCAUCCCCUCCACUCCUCAUGGUGAAAGAGAGAGGAUGGACCUGGCCGUUCCAGCGAAGCCCCCCCUUUCGCCUCUGCGCGAAAGGAUAUGGCUCUGGAUCGGCUGAAGAGCAGAGCACUGAAUCAGGACCCAUACCAAAGGGCCGCAACUGGGUGGGCAAUCUUAAAACCAUUGCUGAAAGCUUUAGUUGUUGGCCUGGGCUUCUUGAUAGGCAGUCCUCCAACCAGGAAACCUGAUUAAACCCUUAUAUCCUCGACCUGAGCUCAGGCAAGAACACCCGCUGAACUUAAGCAUAUCAAUAGCCGGAGGAAA
rnacentral:rRNA from 1 species